rnacentral:tRNA from 1 species
UUCCUCAUAGCUCAGUCAGUAAAGAAUUUGCCUGCAAUGCAGAAGCCCUGGGUUCAAUUUCUCGGUCAGGAAG